AUUCAAGAUAAAAUCUAACCUUCUGUUUCCAUCAUCUUGUACAGAGAAGGUCUAUCUGUGAAGAGUCCCAAGUGAACAGGAUCCUUUGAAAAAGAUGCUAGAUCUUCCUUCAUGUCUAAAAGAAUGGGGAGAAAAGAUACUGCCAUUCUAAUCCUGAACAGAUACCAACCUGGUUUUAUGGGAUCCUUCCGCACAGGCAGAGUUUUGAUGGUUGAGGAAGAUUUUGGAACGUCUGCUCCAGAAGCAGUUUGUGGACAUGAAGGCAAAACCUUGUGAACUGCAGCAAAGAAAAGAACUAUUUUUGUCUAAAGCCUAACAGAACUGACCAUAUUUGCACAGGCUAUGAAUAAAAAUAAUCAGAAAGAAGGCUUGGCAAAUGUAGUGUGAAAGAGAUGGCUUGGCCUGGAAUCAUAUUGGGUUCCAGGGGAUGGCAUUAAAGGCGAGCAUACUGACACUGAAGACAAUAAAGUGCAAAGAGGAAUUCUGGGAAUGGAGCCUAUGAAUGGUACUGAAGCAGGGUCCUUGCUGGCUCAGAAAUCAGAAUGAGAAAGGACUACAGACAAAGGGGCUAUGGAACAAAAACCCCAUGUUGCAUUGCUUCUUAUCAAGGACUGCUGUUCCUAUGGCAUCUGGAAGGUGAAAGCAUUCAAACAUAAUUGCAUGACCAGUAAAAUUUUGGCCAUGUUUGUUCUUUUCCAUCAUGUAGGUGAAGUGACAACUGGGCAUCUGGAUCUUACAUCAUAAGUACUGCCAGGAAGUAAUAAGUUCCUGGGCUUCUCAAAAAAUGACAAAGAAAAUGGCAAUACAAUUGAAAAAAACAAGGGAAAUGGAAGAAAAAAAGGUGAUGAACAAAAAAGAAAAAAAGAAGAAUUAUCGGAAAGAAAUACCGCUAAGCACAAAGGCUCACACAAAGGAAUGGAAGGUGUUAAGAAUAUAAGAGGGAAUUACAGGUGAUGAGAGAGAACCGUGUGGGUGUAAUGGUAGGUUUGCUGCCACUACCCCAAAUUAAAGUUUGAGGAAUUG